AAUAGUUCUUCGUCACAAGUAAUUAUAGUUAUACACAGAACUCAUAUGGAGAAUUUUGUUGAUGACAUGUGGAUAAUAAUUCUUCCACCUAUAUAAUUUGCUUGUUAUUGAGAACGAUAAAUUUUUAUUUCUUUUUUCAUUUACUUUGUCUUGUCAGGAUGAUGAGUUUUUUAGAUGAUGUUUCGAACUUCAGUGAUUCCACCUAUUUCUUGGGUUGUAGAGUUGCACUAACAUACUUGAAGAAAAGACUAUGUUUGCCCA
rnacentral:lncRNA from 1 species